rnacentral:rRNA from 1 species
UACGGAGGGUGCGAGCGUUGUCCGGAAUCACUGGGCGUAAAGGGCGCGUAGGCGGCCCGUCAAGUCGGUGGUGAAAGCCCGUGGCUCAACUACGGGUCGGCCACCGAUACUGUCGGGCUCGAGUUUGGUAGAGGCAGAUGGAAUUCCGGGUGUAGCGGUGGAAUGCGUAGAGAUCCGGAAGAACACCGGUGGCGAAGGCGGUCUGCUGGGCCAAGACUGACGCUGAGGCGCGACAGCGUGGGGAGCAAACAGG